rnacentral:rRNA from 1 species
GACAGAGGGUGCAAACGUUGUUCGGAAUCAUUGGGCGUAAAGCGCGUGUAGGCGGCCCGGUAAGUCCGCUGUGAAAGUCGGGGGCUCAACCCUCGGAUGCCGGUGGAUACUGUCGGGCUAGAGUGCGGAAGAGGCGAGUGGAAUUCCUGGUGUAGCGGUGAAAUGCGCAGAUAUCAGGAGGAACACCAAUUGCGAAGGCAGCUCGCUGGGACGUUACUGACGCUGAGACGCGAAAGCGUGGGGAGCAAACAGG